UACGUAGGGUGCGAGCGUUGUCCGGAAUUAUUGGGCGUAAAGAGCUCGUAGGCGGUCUGUCGCGUCGAAUGUGAAAACCCGGGGCUCAACUCCGGGCUUGCAUUCGAUACGGGCAGGCGUAGGAGUUCGGUAGGGGAGUCUGGAAUUCCUGGUGUAGCGGUGAAAUGCGCAGAUAUCAGGAGGAACACCGGUGGCGAAGGCGGGACUCUGGGCCGAUACUGACGCUGAGGAGCGAAAGCGUGGGGAGCGAACAGG
rnacentral:rRNA from 1 species